AUUGAACGCUGGCGGCAUGCUUUACACAUGCAAGUCGAACGGCAGCGCGGGCUUCGGCCUGGCGGCGAGUGGCGAACGGGUGAGUAAUGCAUCGGAACGUGCCCAGUAGUGGGGGAUAGCCCGGCGAAAGCCGGAUUAAUACCGCAUACGACCUGAGGGUGAAAGCGGGGGACCGAAAGGCCUCGCGCUAUUGGAGCGGCCGAUGUCGGAUUAGCUAGUUGGUGGGGUAAAGGCUUACCAAGGCGACGAUCCGUAGCUGGUCUGAGAGGACGACCAGCCACACUGGGACUGAGACACGGCCCAGACUCCUACGGGAGGCAGCAGUGGGGAAUUGUGGACAAAGGGGGCAACCCUGAUCCAGCCAUGCCGCGUGCGAGAAGAAGGCCUUCGGGUUGUAAACCGCUUUUGUUCGGGAAGAAAUCCUCUGGGCUAAUACCCCGGGGGGAUGACGGUACCGGAAGAAUAAGCACCGGCUAACUACGUG
rnacentral:rRNA from 1 species